rnacentral:lncRNA from 1 species
AUCUCCCAAUUUUGAAUUCCCUGUAUUCGAAGCGGAAGAAGAUGAUGUUGAAGGGAUUCCUGACGAGAUUUCCCGACUUCUUGAGCAAAAAAGAAGAUCACACUCAGCUGCAUCUCGAGAAUCAGCAGAACAGCCAACUGGGGCAUUAUCAAAAAAAAGAGAAAGAAAAAAGAAAGAGAGGGUGCAAAACCAAAUCAAAAGAAAUCCAAAUCAAAAGCAAAAUCAAAAGGAAAAAAAACAAA